CAAACAAACAAAAACUCGCGGAGGAAACAGCCAGUGCAAGGGCCCUGAGGCAGGAAGUUCUGUUUUCUGAGGAACAGAAAGAGACCGUGUUUCUGUUGUGAGGAGAGUAGUGCUAAGACAAUGUUGAAGGGGCAGUCAGGAUAGAAUGAGGAGGUAGAAAUUCAACCGAAACAGGAAGCCACUGAAAGGUAUUGGAGGGGGAGGAGGAUUGCAGAGGGGUCGCGGGAGAGACCAGGGAGCAGUUGGGGGUGUUUUCAGUGAUUCAGAUGAGAGACAAUGGGGCUUGGACUGGGCUGGAGCUGUGGAGAUGGAGAAAAGCGGGCAAAUUGAAGGACUCAGGAAUGGAUUAACUGCGAAGGUUGAAGAAAAGGAAUGAGGUGACCUUGGGAUUCACGCCUGGGUGAUGAGGCGCUUUAGAGGUGCCUUUAUUCAGAUUUCAGUCUGAAGUCGGGUCUGAGGGGUGGGGCUCGUUCAAGCGAAGGCUCGGUGGAGACAGAAGGAAUUGGGCUCAGUCGGGAGGCAGCGAUGGAAGUCAGCAAUUGCUUAGGGCAGAAUGUGAUUUCCGGGGAGGAGGCGAGGGUAUGUAGACAGAGGGGGUUGGACACACUAGGAGGGGAGGAGCCAGCCGAGAGAUCCUGAGUCCCCUCAGUCCUUAAUUAAAAACCUCCAUCCUCACUUUGUUCGCGUCAGUCGUCCAGGCGUCCUUUUCCGCCAGGCACCAAGGCACAGCUUCCAGUAGACCCAAGUCCUGCUUUGCAGAGAGUUCGUCUUCCCCGGGAAGGUGCAGAGGUGGAUGAACUGCUGAGACUUGAAAAUUCUAACAUUUUAAGUCGAUACAUUUUCCUCAAAGCACCACUUCAGCUACAUUCCCCAAGUUUUGAUAG